rnacentral:lncRNA from 1 species
GCACAUAUGAGUGUUGGGGCUGAGGAGGAGGCAGUCUUGACUACUCUGGAGCAGCCAGUUGCAGAGGGCCAGCCACAGCAGAGCAGAAAGGAGCUCUGAGAACAGAUUCCUCCAGGGGCUUCUGUCUCCAGGACACCCUUUGGUACAAGACAAAGCAAACCUCAGAGGGGAACACUCAACUGCUGCUGGUGGAUCCACAUCUAAUCCUUCUGACAUCCAAAAGGAGCUAGUCUUGGUUUCCUUCUCGUGCAUGCUUUGUGUCCCUGUCUAACCUCCUACCAGUGUCCUGUCCCCACAGUCCUCAGUCCCAGCCCCCUCUCCUGUCCGCUUCCCAUGAGCAGCUUAACUAGCUGCUCUGUGCCGAUUCUCUUCUGUUUUCCCAACGGAGGAACUUUGCACAGUGCUGGGCACAUGAUACCAGCCUGGAAGACAACGGAGCUGUCAUUCUGUUAAAAAAUUAAGAGAAGUACGCAGAACCUGCCUUUUUCUAAAUGAGAAGCUUUGGAAGCGACUGGACACUUUUGGCCAUUGCAGUCCACAGAUUAUAAAUGUCAUGAAGACAGGGGCUGUGUCUGUCUUAUUCACCUAACUAACCACAGCAACUCACACCAUGCCAUGGAAGGCACUCAAAAAUUUUAUGUUGAAGCGAUAAGUGGAUGGCAAAGGCACCCCAAUUUUCAGGAUUGAUUUCCUCCAACUGUAAUUAGUCACUGAGCAAAACAGCCCAGGCUGGAGUGCAGUGGUAGGAUUAUGGCUCACUGCAGCCUCGACAUCCUGGACUUAAGUGAUCCUCUCAUCACAACCUCUGGAAUAGCUGCAACUACAGAAGGUUACCUGGAGACUUUGGCAAGAGCCACAGCAGUUCCUAAAAGGAAAAGAAACCUCAAAGGAGAAUGUUAAUCUCCCCGAUCAGCUCCAGCUCUCCCUGGAAACAUCCUUUUCUAUGUAACAGCCUAAAUCAUCCUAAAGAGGACAUUCUCCAACAUUAGCAUACCUAACAAUCAACACGGAGAUUUCCAGGACCUGUUCCAGAAACACGGAUUCAGUAGGUUUAGGGUGGAAGUUUGGAAUCUGCCUUUUAACCAACUCCCUGCUAUGGACUGAAUUGUUUCACCCCAAAAUUCAUAUAUUGAAGCCCUCACCCCUAAUGUGAUGGCAUUUGAAGAUGGGGCCUUUGGGAGGUCAUUAUGUUUAGAUGAGGUCGUGAGGAAGGGAGCCCCAUGAUGGAUGGGAUUAGUGCCCUCAUAAGAAGACAUGCCAGAGAGCUCUCUCUACUCUCAAGUACCCAGGAAAGGCCAUAACAAGACACAGCCAGAAGACAGCUAUCUGCAAGCCAGGAAGCGCCCUCACCAAACAGACACGGACCCUGCUAGCACCUUGCUCUUGGGCAUUCAGCCUCCAGAAUUGGGAGACGAUCAAUUCCUGCUGUGAAGGUAUUUUAUUAAGGCAGCCAAAGCUGACUGAGAUACUUCCCCGAUCACUGUGAUGUCCAGUGCCGAGGGCCUAUGCUUUGAAAAUCAAUAUUCUAGUCUUAGGCCAAAACUCUCCUCCCUGCUUCCCCAGCCACUCCUUGAGCUUUCUUCUUCCUCAUGGCCCUCUCGGCCAUCUGGACAGGCUUCUUCCUGGAUACAAGUCACAUGAAUGUCACUGACCUGUGACUUUGUCUUUGUUUCCUGAGUGCAUCACACAGUACAUGGCCUACGGCAGGCAUUCAGAAAAUAUUGAUUUCAUGAAUGAAUAGGUGAAUGAAUGAGUGAGCAAAUGAAUGAAUUUAUAUCACAUAGAAUAAUUAACUUCCCUUUUAGUAUCUCCCUAAUCCUUCCAACUCUAACUUGAGGAAGCUAUGACUUGCUUUCAAGAUCAUUUUCCAGGCCUGGCGCGGUGGCUCACGCCUGUAAUCCCAGCACUUUGGGAGGCUGAGGCAGGUGGAUCACCUGAAGUCAGGAGUUCAAGACCAGCCUUGCCAACAUGGUGAAACCCUGUCUCUACUUAAAAUACAAAAAUUUGGCAGGCUUGGUGGCCGGCGCCUGUAAUCCCAGCUACUUGGGAGGCUGAGGCAGGAGAAUUGCUUGGACCCACAAGGCGGAGGUUGCAGUGAGCUGAGAUCACACCACUGCACUCCAGCCUGGGCAACAAGAGCAAAACUCUGUCUGAAAAAUGAAUAAAUAAAUAAAUAAUAGGAUUAUUUUGCAUCCAUUCUAUUGUUUUGUGGGAAUCUUUCACAGUCAUUGCCUGGGAAUCCAGUGAUGAAAAGUGGCCCACAAAUACAAUCUAAUGGAGGCCCUCAGGUUAUUCACUAAAGCUCAGAGAAGAUCAUUUUCCAAUCAGAGACAUCCACAAGUGGAAUGGUGCUAGAAUCUUCCCUCCCCUGCAGGAAAGCCCUGGUCAGCCAGGUCAGAUGUGGGCAGAUGGUUUGCUCUUCUCCACCGAGUACUGAGUGAAGCCUUGGGCUGGAAAUCCAGGUAGGGAGGUUAAGGACAAAUUUGGAAUUAAAACACAAUAAGCCCCUUCAUUCCUUCCCCAUUCACAUCCUCCAUUCUUAAGGCUGGGAAAAAAAAAAAAAAAAAAGACCCCUUACUUCCUCAUGCAAGACUGCCCCCAGGCUUAAUCAGAGCCUUAACUGCUGUCUUUGGCUGUGUUGUAAGCACAGUGACAAUGAUCAGGUUAGGUGUUUAGAACAGUAUGAUGUCAGUCGGGCUUGUGAUGAAAGAGUCGCUGACAGACAGUGCAAGCCAACACCAUGAGAACAGCUCAGGCUAUGAGGUCAUUCAGUCCAACAGGUAGGCAGGUUUGUUUUCUUAGCCCUGACAUUCGAUGCCCUGCCGGUUAUUGAAUAACCAGAAAUGAGGCGACUCCUACAAAUUCCUGGAUCUCCAUGGGGAUGGAGAAGGAGGGGCUGUGCUUCGUCUGCCAAACUGUGGGUUUGAUUAAGGGCACCGGAGGAGAAGCCAGAACUGGAAACCUGUCUCUAGGAAGAUGGGUAGAUGAAAGAAAAUGCAAGAAAGAUAUUCAGGGGCAAGUGGGAUCAUUUCUGCAGAGGUGAAAAAUGAUUCUGCAUCCCAUUUAAUCCAAUCAUGCCCUGCUCCUAGAGAGGAAAGUGAAACACCCUCAGACUGAACACGUGGUCAAACUCAGAUGAAUGAAGCAGCCAGUUCACAGCAAAUUUACUUUUCAAAAGACUGGGAAAGAAGGGAAUUGGGGGAACUUUUUUUCUGUUUGUUGAGGAGGGAGAUUAUUUAUUAACUUGUUUAUUUUACUACCCAAUAUAUACCACACAUAGGACCCCAUGUGCAAAGAUUUCACAGCUUUAAGAACAUGAAAUAUUUUAAUGAAAGACUGUAGUUAACAUUUCAAAAAUGUAAGUUCAA